AUGCACGCUGGCGGCGUGCCUCAUACCUGCCAGUCGAGCGAACGGACGAGAAGCUUGCUUUUCUGAUGUUAGCGGCGGACGGGUGAGUAACACGUGGAUAACCUACCUAUAAGACUGGGAUAACUUCGGGAAACCGGAGCUAAUACCGGAUAAUAUUUUGAACCGCAUGGUUCAAAAGUGAAAGACGGUCUUGCUGUCACUUAUAGAUGGAUCCGCGCUGCAUUAGCUAGUUGGUAAGGUAACGGCUUACCAAGGCAACGAUGCAUAGCCGACCUGAGAGGUGGUCCGGCCACCCGGGACUGGGGCACCGUUCCGGACUCCAACGGGAGGCAGCAGUGGGGAAUCUUCCGCAAUGGGCGAAGGCCUGACGGAGCAACGCGGCGGGAGUGAGGAAGGUCUUCGAAUCGUAAAACCCUGUUAUUAGGGAAGAACAAAGGUGUAAGUAACUGUGCAGUUCUGAACGGUACCAAAUCAGAAAGCAACGGCUAACUACGG
rnacentral:rRNA from 1 species